GACAGAGGGUGCAAGCGUUGUUCGGAAUCACUGGGCGUAAAGGGUGUGUAGGCGGUGAAGUGUGUCUGAUGUGAAAUCCCUCGGCUUAACCGGGGAAGUGCAUCGGAAACUGCUUCGCUAGAGUGUGAGAGAGGAUGGCGGAAUUCCCAGAGUAGAGGUGAAAUUCGUAGAUACUGGGAGGAACACCAGAGGCGAAGGCGGCCAUCUGGAUCACAACUGACGCUGAGACACGAAAGCGUGGGUAGCAAACAGG
rnacentral:rRNA from 1 species